rnacentral:rRNA from 1 species
CGGACGGGUGAGUAACACGUGGAUAACCUACCUAUAAGACUGGGAUAACUUCGGGAAACCGGAGCUAAUACCGGAUAACAUGUUGAACCGCAUGGUUCAACAGUGAAAGACGGUCUUGCUGUCACUUAUAGACGGAUCCGCGCCGCAUUAGCUAGUUGGUAAGGUAACGGCUUACCAAGGCAACGAUGCGUAGCCGACCUGAGAGGGUGAUCGGCCACACUGGAACUGAGACACGGUCCAG